AUCUAGUCUUGAUUAUGUCUGUGAACCCUGGCUUUGGUGGGCAAGGCUUUAUUGAGAGUCAAGUAAAGAAAAUCUCAGAUUUGAGAAGAAUAUGUGCAGAGAAGGGAGUAAAUCCAUGGAUUGAAGUAGAUGGCGGAGUUGGUCCCAAGAAUGCAUAUAAGGUUAUUGAGGCUGGAGCUAAUGCUAUAGUUGCGGGAUCAGCUGUAUUUGGAGCUAAAGAUUAUGCUGAAGCUAUAAGAGGAAUCAAAACCAGCAAAAGGCCAGUAGCUGUACCAGCAUGAUUUAUCACCAGAGAAUCUCAUUUUAUUAAAUGUUAUUCAAAAAGUAGAUAAGCAGCUUAUUUCUACCUUCAUGUUGCGGCCAGAUGUACCAUCACUCUUGGUUGAUUUCUCCCGGGUUACAGAUGAACU
rnacentral:misc_RNA from 1 species